rnacentral:rRNA from 1 species
UGGGGAAUAUUGCACAAUGGGGGAAACCCUGAUGCAGCGACGCCGCGUGAACGAAGAAGGUAUUCGUAUCGUAAAGUUCUGUCCUAUGGGAAGAUAAUGACAGUACCAUAGAAGAAAGCUCCGGCUAAAUACGUGCCAGCAGCCGCGGUAAUACGUAUGGAGCGAGCGUUGUCCGGAAUUAUUGGGCGUAAAGGGUACGCAGGCGGUUUAAUAAGUCGAAUGUUAAAGAUCGGGGCUCAACCCCGUAAAGCAUUGGAAACUGAUAAACUUGAGUAGUGGAGAGGAAAGUGGAAUUCCUAGUGUAGUGGUGAAAUACGUAGAUAUUAGGAGGAAUACCAGUAGCGAAGGCGACAUUCUGGACACAAACUGACGCUGAGGUACGAAAGCGUGGGGAGCAAACAGG